UAGUAGCACAAAUAGCAGCUAGCACAUCUAAACUAUCUAAAGUUCAUCAUGUUUUACUUCCUUGGGCUUGGCAAGCUGAUGAGCAUCAGCAGCAAUAUUUAAAUUGUGAAGGCACGUGUAGGAAUAGUGUCAGAUUACAUAGAAGCAGUUAAUGCUCAGUCCCAGAAAGUCUUCUACCUCCACACAAAUUAAACCAAUACAAUUGGAAAGUAGUGUCAAAUCAGCUAGAAUGUAAAGUCCGUUCACUUUGCUUAUUUGAAAGCAACAAACCAAUCCAUGCUGAACUGGAGAAGGCUUACUGUAACAGGGAAGAGAGAAGCAAAGAACCUGGAAUCCCUACAGCAAAUUAUGAAGGUCCUACUUGGAGAAAUCCUGUUUCCUCUAACUUCACUACACAUUCUGUAUGAUGACUUGAGGAUGCUUUCUGUCAGAGAAAGAGGCAUUAACGUCAGACAAUAUUGACAUUGGCUGAAGUUCUUCACUGCAGUAAAACACUAAGUCCACGUGGAAGAACCAGCGGAACAGCACUGACAGCAUCUUGGAUCGUGUGGGUUCACAGUCUGUUGGCUCACAGCUGUGUGGGAGCUGGGCCAAUUGGGUCCCAAGCAGAACAGGGCUUGUGGACCCUGUCUGAAUGCCAUGACCUUGAGCUACCUCUGGACUGGUGGCUACCACUGUCACCUCUUUCCUCUCAUCUAAUUGUGUCCAGAGUUGUUUUACCAGAUGAAACCAGCUGGCACAAAACACUGCAAUGACAGUCUCCAAAGAAGCAAAACCAAGACAGCAAUAACAGUCAUUUUCACAUCUGGCUUUUAAAAGUUUGCUGGGCUCAGCCAUCAUUACUAUGUUUACAGACUAAGUAUACAAGAUGAAAACUUUGUGGAGACACCAUCUUCAGAUAAAUCCAGUGUCACUGUCACACGGCAUUGGAUCAAGUAUCUUUGGGAAAGGUAGUUUUGCCACUCUAAGAGUAGUGGCUCUCACUGUAGAAAGCCUCAUACUGUUUCCAUUCACAUCUACAGGCAACAGAGACAUUCUUGGUAUGCUUUUGACAAUGCCUUCCAUGUCUUGCUAUCUAAGUCUGUACACUGAUUCCAAUAGUGAGCCAGGCACCAAAGGCAAAGUGGUUUUAAGAAUGGAAAUCUUUAUUGCAAUAGUCAGGAGGAUGUUUCUUAGUUACAAUCAAUGGGGUCCCAAAAGGUCAAUGGCAGGAAUGGUACUCAGACAUCAAGAAACCACGUCGUGUAUUUAGACAAUGAAAAAUAAGGUGUGACCAAGGAUGUUGAACACUUUAGGUAAUGCAGCGAACUUCUCAGGGGAGCUAAUUAGCCUUGGCUUAGUGCUGGACUAGCACAGCUCUACUGCUCGCAUUUUUGAAGGUAGUGCUGAUGCUGAGCUGUGUUAUGUAUACAGAUUGAGUUAUUCAGGGUACCUAGGUAUCUAUAACAUCACACAUUAUCCCAUGGUACAUAAACCCAGAGAGUUGCACUGAAGCUAACAGACAGCCAACUAGGAGUAGUAGGACACAAUAAAAAAAAUUCUGCCUGAAACUAUUAAGAAAAGAAAAGCAAUCAUGUCAGCUAACCUGUUAAUCAUGUAGAUAAGAUGGCAGAUGCAAAACUACAGAGGAGCUAAGAGGAAGGAUUCUUUUCUUAGCAAGCUUACCUGUCCUAUCCUUUCAGCAAAAAUCAAG
rnacentral:lncRNA from 1 species